rnacentral:ncRNA from 1 species
AAGAUCCUUCUGGUUUAAAUCAGGUGUCAGAAAAGUUGCCACAGGGAUGACUGGCUUGGAAUAGCCAAGUGUUUAUAGCAACGCCACUGUUUGAUCCUUCGAUGUCGGCUCUUCCUAUCAGUGUGAAGCAGAAUUCACCAAGUGUUAUACUGUUCAUCCAUUGGAAGCUGGGUUUAGACUGGGUUAGUU